UAGGGAAUCUUCGGCAAUGGGGGGAACCCUGACCGAGCAACGCCGCGUGAGUGAAGAAGGUUUUCGGAUCGUAAAGCUCUGUUGUUAAGGAAGAACGAGUGUGAGAAUGGAAAGUUCAUACUGUGACGGUACUUAACCAGAAAGGGACGGCUAACUACGUGCCAGCAGCCGCGGUAAUACGUAGGUGGCAAGCGUUGUCCGGAUUUAUUGGGCGUAAAGCGAGCGCAGGCGGUCAAUUAAGUCUGAUGUGAAAGCCCCCGGCUCAACCGGGGGGGGUCAUUGGAAACUGGUUGACUUGAGUGCAGAAGAGGAGAGUGGAAUUCCAUGUGUAGCGGUGAAAUGCGUAGAUAUAUGGAGGAACACCAGUGGCGAAGGCGACUCUCUGGUCUGUAACUGACGCUGAGGCUCGAAAGCGUGGGUAGCAAACAGG
rnacentral:rRNA from 1 species